GCAUAUCAAUAAGCGGAGGAAAAGAAACCAACAGGGAUUGCCUCAGUAACGGCGAGUGAAGCGGCAAGAGCUCAAAUUUGAAAGCUGGCCCCUUCGGGGUCCGCGUUGUAAUUUGCAGAGGAUGCUUCGGGUGCAGCCCCCGUCUAAGUGCCCUGGAACGGGCCGUCAUAGAGGGUGAGAAUCCCGUCUGGGACGGGGUGUCUGCGUCCGUGUGAAGCUCCUUCGACGAGUCGAGUUGUUUGGGAAUGCAGCUCUAAAUGGGUGGUAAAUUUCAUCUAAAGCUAAAUACUGGCCGGAGACCGAUAGCGCACAAGUAGAGUGAUCGAAAGAUGAAAAGCACUUUGAAAAGAGAGUUAAACAGCACGUGAAAUUGUUGAAAGGGAAGCGUUUGCGACCAGACUCGCCCGCGGGGUUCAGCCGGCAUUCGUGCCGGUGUACUUCCCCGUGGGCGGGCCAGCGUCGGUUUGGGCGGCCGGUCAAAGGCCCUCGGAAUGUAUCACCUCUC
rnacentral:rRNA from 1 species